UGUCAGGUGGCACCUCCAUGGAUUGGACUUGUUUGUCCUAUACAUUGCAUAGAUUGACAUUGAGAUAAUUUGGGGGCCAAGUCCACACCUUCAACUGUUUUUCACAUUCCUCAAACCAUUCCUGAGCAAUUUUUGCAGUAUGGCAUGGCAUAUUAUCCUAUUGAAAGAGGCCACUGCCGCUGAGGUAUAUGCUGGCCUUCGCUCCCCAUGUACAUCAGUGAUCCUUGGGUGCCCAUGACCUUAUUGCCGGUUCACCGGUUGGCCUUCCUUGGACCACUUUUGAUAGGUACUGACCUGCCAUUUUGAAGGUGCUCUGACCCAGUCAUCUAGCCAUCACAAUUUGCCACAUGGCUCUAUGGGUUGAUUGUGCACCUGUGAACCCCUCAGUUGUGUGUUUGAAUCCAGCCACCUCUGUUUUUGUCUUUAGUAGAUAUUGUUUCCUAGUGUUUCUUUUGUAUUAGUUUUCUUGUCCUCGGGUUUCCCUGCUUCUAUUCUGUUUUGUUCCUUUCUGGUUCUGUUUAAUUAUCCAUGUGUUCUGUUCCUAGUGUUUUAUUCCCAGUUAAUGUUUUCUAGUUCUUGCUAUUUGUUAAGCUCUCUAGUUUCUGUGUUUAAUUAUUAUUAGUUGCACCUGUUUUCUUGUGCCAGCCCUUAUUGACUGUUUCUCACCUGUCCUGCGUUAUCUUGUUAGUCCUCUGUAUUUAAGUACCUGAUCCUGCUCUGUUCCCUGUGGAGUCAUUAACUGUGUUUUUUUGAUACUGGUUCUUCUGUUUGCUGUGCGUGCGUGCCGUUUUCUGUGUUACUGGUUUCCCUUCGUAGAUAAUUUUUUGUCCUGUUAGUUGUAUUAUUCCCCUGUUUAGUUCUGACCCCUUGUGGUCUUUUUGUUUGUAGUGUUCCCAGGGUUCUCAUUAUCUGUAAAUAAGCCCCUGUGGUUUUGCAGAGCUGUAAGUGGAUCGUCACCUUCCCGCCUGCACCGUGCCCCACUACCAUGACAGUGCAGUCCCGUAGACGUGAUGCCCCCACCGCGCCUCUGCGCUUCAUUGACCGCUCCGGGCGCUCCGAACUGCAGCGCUGGAGGCUGAGGAGGGGCGUCGGGGGUGUUGACUCAAAGCCCUCCAUCAAACUCAUGGAAGAGAGUUCCUGUUAUUGAAACCUGAAUCUAAACCUUCAACGAGGGAUUAGCUUCACAUCAAAAGGGGAAGGAAAUCGUAGUGCUUGAGCCUCAAAUAACAUGUUGGUACAUCUGGAAUCCUCUUCGCAAAGUUUCAAGGCUCCAUUGAAAAUGUGAUGGAAAUUAUUUCUUGUGAUAUAAUAUGAUCGCAUGUGCAUAUAACUGUCUUGUUAGAUGUAUACGUCUACAAAUCAGUGGAAUUUGAUAGUUAAUUGAACAAAUAAACUUUACCCAAACUA